UUAGUGAUGAUGGUUCGUUUUAGUUUACCGACGAUUGGGUGGAAUGCAAGGCGGAGGUUAUUAUUAUGGUGAGGUUCGAUUUGUAGGUGUAGUGGUUAAGAGGAUAAAAACGGCGAUAGAGAAUGGGGUUAAGGUGAUGAAGCAUACUGAUUAAGGGUGUUCAGAUCAAGGGAAAUGGAAAUGGAGUGUUUGUGGUUGUGCUCCAGUGGGGUUGUUACCGGAAAGGAAGACGGCGAGUGGUGGUCUUUGCGGUGGUCCCCGGAUGGAAAACGGUGAGGGUUUGGUGGGUGGAUAUCGUGCGG
rnacentral:lncRNA from 1 species